rnacentral:rRNA from 1 species
AAUCCUACGGGACGCAGCAGUGGGGGAUAUUGCACAAUGGGGGAAACCCUGAUGCAGCGACGCCGCGCGAGCGAUGAAGUAUUUCGGUAUGUAAAGCUCUAUCAGCAGGGAAGAAAAUGACGGUACCUGACUAAGAAGCCCCGGCUAAGUACGUGCCAGCAGCCGCGGUAAUACGUAGGGGGCAAGCGUUAUCCGGAUUUACUGGGUGUAAAGGGAGCGUAGACGGCAGGGCAAGUCUGAAGUGAAAGGCAAGGGCUCAACCCUUGGACUACUUUGGAAACUGUGCUG